rnacentral:rRNA from 1 species
GAUGAACGCUAGCUACAGGCUUAACACAUGCAAGUCGAGGGGUAACGAGAGGAAAGCUUGCUUUCCUUGUCGACGACCGGCGCACGGGUGAGUAACGCGUAUCCAACCUGCCCCCAACUAAGGAAUAACCUUGCGAAAGUAAGACUAAUACCUUAUAAUUUCCUCAGAUGUCAUCUGACGAGGAAUAAAGAUUUAUCGGUUGUGGAUGGGGAUGCGUCUGAUUAGCUUGUUGGCGGGGUAACGGCCCACCAAGGCAACGAUCAGUAGGGGUUUUGAGAGGACGGUCCCCCACAGUGGAACUGAGACACGGUCCAAACUCCUACGGGAGGCAGCAGUGGGGAAUGUUGGUCAAUGGGCGGAAGCCUGAACCAGCCAAGUAGCGUGCAGGAUGACGGCCCUAUGGGUUGUAAACUGCUUUUAUACAGGAAUAAAGUUAGCCACGUGUGGUUAUUUGUAGGUACUGUAUGAAUAAGGACCGGCUAAUUCCGUGCCAGCCGCCGCAGUAA